CCUUUACUACCCUACCAUUGUACGACAUCUUACCCCCACGAACACGCAUAUAAAUAUGAGACAUCAUGUUCGUUCAGGGGCAAAAUUAACUUGAUAGUCCAAUUCCCUUCCAGCUUGUUGUCAGGAGAACCACUGACGAUCACGAGACAGACGUGAUCUCCUGGGAAUUGGAUGCAUCAAGAACUUGAACCGAAACAUAGAUUAAACCAACAUGAGAGGGAAGAGACACCAAAGACAGACCCUGGUGGCAACUUGCUCGAGUUAUUUGUCUUCCGGAUGCGUCCUGGAAGAGGCGCUCUUGUAAUCAUUCGUGUGCAUUUUCGAAUCCGGAUCUUCACCAAUAAGUCAAUGUCAAAGCUUUGGUUCACCGUCUUCAUUUUCUAUAGUAAGAACAUUGGCAAUGUCAUCAUCCUUGAGAUCCCUAAACAUCAAUUUGAUGUUUGCAGUAGU
rnacentral:lncRNA from 1 species